rnacentral:pre_miRNA from 1 species
AGGACUACUUCCAAUCUACUUAUCACUUUGUGUUGCUAAGAUACAGGGGAAGUGUACAUUGGUCGUGGAGGUCGC